GCCCGGGUGGCGGAAUUGGUAGACGCGCUCGUUUCAGGUGCGAGUGUUCAAAAGACGUGCAGGUUCGAUUCCUGUCCCGGGCACGA
rnacentral:tRNA from 2 species